rnacentral:rRNA from 1 species
CUUGACAUCCACGGAAGUUUUCAGAGAUGAGAAUGUGCCUUCGGGAACCGUGAGACAGGUGCUGCAUGGCUGUCGUCAGCUCGUGUUGUGAAAUGUUGGGUUAAGUCCCGCAACGAGCGCAACCCUUAUCCUUUGUUGCCAGCGGUCCGGCCGGGAACUCAAAGGAGACUGCCAGUGAUAAACUGGAGGAAGGUGGGGAUGACGUCAAGUCAUCAUGGCCCUUACGACCAGGGCUACACACGUGCUACAAUGGCGCAUACAAAGAGAAGCGACCUCGCGAGAGCAAGCGGACCUCAUAAAGUGCGUCGUAGUCCGGAUUGGAGUCUGCAACUCGACUCCAUGAAGUCGGAAUCGCUAGUAAUCGUGGAUCAGAAUGCCACGGUGAAUACGUUCCCGGGCCUUGUACACACCGCCCGUCACACCAUGGGAGUGGGUUGCAAAAGAAGUAGGUAGCUUAACCUUCGGGAGGGCGCUUACCACUUUGUGAUUCAUGACUGGGGUGAAGUCGUAACAAGGUAACCGUAGGGGAACCUGCGGUUGGAUCACCUCCUUACCUUAAAGAAGC